UUCGCCAGUCUACCUCUCUGGCUGGGCACCACCUCCACAGCUAGGAACCUCUCUGACCAGGCACCACGGAUGCGCAUGCUCCGUUUGGAUCUAUUCCGUUUCCGUUUUGAUCACUUCCGGUAACGCAGGCGCAUUGAAGUUGAGGAAAAUAUUAACUUAAUAUCGUAUCCGUAUUUCGCGUAGCUAAUGCCUGAAAUGCAGUGGCAGUGCCCAAUCAUGGCAUAGUGAUAGUAGUAAGAGAAAGAAAAAGACACGGAAGAGAAGAAACAUAAGAAGGAUGAUCUUGGUGCAUUCCAUAGUUGGCCACAUUACAUAAAGCUCUAUGACAAGGGGGCUUACUCUAAUUACAAGAUUUCGCUCGACCUGAGCACCACAGACAAAUUCGGUUCCCCCUCAAGGCCAUCUUAGAGGUCCUUUCCCAAAUUCUCGAGAUUGCUGGUUUGCGCGAAAUUGGAGAGCAGGCUAAUAUCAAUGUCUGUCAAGCGUGAAAAUAGACACGAGGUGUGUGUUUGAAGUGUCUCUGCGAUCUCCUGAAGAAGUUUCUGCAAAGUCGCCAUUGGAUACGGACACCCAGUGGCCUAGUCUUGGUGAUAGGACACUGGUGCCUCUUGCAGAUAAGCUACUGCUUCAUUCAGCGAGAUUAUUAAACAUGUGUUACCACGUGAUCGCUGAGCGACAUCCUGGCCUCCUGGCCCCCAGCCCAGCAAGGCGUCGCUACCAUCGCUGCCGAAUGCUCCGACUCUAAGCCCCAUCAAGAUCAAGACGAAGGGCAAGGAGGCAGACGCGGCUGGGAGCCAGCCAAGUCAAGGCACGGAGAUAAAACAACCUGGACGACCAGUCAGAAGUCUCUAUGUGAUCAUUGAUUGCCUGCCUUCAUUAUUCAGCAUCUGAAAGUGCGGCUGGAAAUCGACAGCCCCACUCAGCAAUGAGAAGCCCAUCAUGUUGUCACACUACCCCGGCGGACAUGAACCUGACCCGUAUGAGCAGGCGAGGCUGGGUCGCCGUGUCUGGAAUGUCUGGCUGCUAUUCUAUCAGGCAUGCCAGGAAUAUGGACAAGGUCGAGCGUGCGGCGAGAGAAGAACGCCUUGCAGAACUCCAAAACUCGGAUGACAUUGAUGAUCCUAAAAUAAAGCGAGAAAUUGAGCAAAUCCUCAAGAUGAUGAUAGGAGAGGGAUCAGGCAUGAGCGCGGUUGUGUUGAAAGAUUUAGAAAUUAAAAAGAAACGUGCAAAAUCACCGACGUUGGAUCCUCGUAGUGCACCAAGAACGCCCUCUGCAGCAGUUGAACUACACCUCAAGACUAGAUACGAGUCACUGGUUUUUGCGUGUAAGUUUAUCGUUUUCCUUGAACUGCACUAAAACUUGCAUUUCAGAGCUUGUAAAUAGUGUAUGCUGCUUGGAAAGAUAAACCUGGGGUGGACACCACCUUCAGGUUGUCAUUUCUUAUGAUACAGUUACCCCAAAAAUUAUUUGUACACUUACGAAAAAUUGCAUUAUUUCCAAACCAGAGUCAAAAUAACUGAAAUAACUACUAAUAUGAUUAUAUUGUUAGUUAAUUUAUUUGCAAUCUCAAUACAUUUACAGUUUCUUUGUUUUGGAUUAACUGAUUCAAUUCAGUUCGGUUUUAAAAGAACCGUUUUGGUUUAAGCAUCCUUGGCACCAGUGGUUUUCCUUGUAGGGGUGGUUUUUGGAUUGAGAUGUGAUUUUGAACCGAAUUGAGUCUGACGCCCCAAUACGGCAAUAUCAAACAUUUAAUUCGAAUUCAAUUCGUGUUGAAACCCCAGUGUGAUCCGAAGUUUAAACCCACCAUUACAUUCCUCAAUAUUUAAUCUGUCGCCUGAGCUGGUUUUGUCAAGUUUUUUUUGUACACGAAACUGUCACCAAUAGAUGUCAAAAUUUUGUUCAGCAUUGAAUUGUAGCCGUUGUGGAGAAACGGCUGGAGAAACAGAGCCGAUAUUUUGUAGUCUUUUUUACCGUAGCUUUUUUUACCGUAGCCUUUUUUACCUGCAAUUGUUUUCUUAGUGCACCAAAAAGUCAUUUCGGGUACAAUUCAAGGAACUAUGAAUGACCCCUGUCACAGGCAAUAUGACAAACAAUCAGAAAAAGUAACCUUUUUUACCGUAGCCUUUUUUACCUGUAGUCACGGUAAAAAAGGCCCAGUAAAAAAGGCUACGGUAAAAAAUUUGGGGAGAAAAUUGGCUCGAGAAAAUGAUGAAGCAGCUUUGAGACUACUUCAAUUUGUGACAAUAUUUGUAUUGCCUACUAACUUAUAAUAAUCAUUUACUGUGUUUUAGUCUUACUGUCUGCAAACCCAGUCACCUUUGGCGACACCUUUUUGUUAACUGUAAUCAGAUCAGUUCCCAUGCUUUGGACCCUAAUUAGCCUUUCCUUUGUUCUGUAAUCAUAAUCUCUUAAGCUGUUUGACCUUUGUUUGUGGGCUUGGUGAUGAGCUUUGGGACUAGGCCUUUGCCCUAGACCCUUUGUCUGGCAUUUUGAGAUUGAUGCUGCUGUAUUUUCAUUGGUUGCUCCUCUUCAUUAGUUAGUGCUGAUUGGUUAAGACUCUGUUUUAGGGUUAGGCUAUUUACCCAUUGGAGGAGGUAAGGCAUGUAGGGUGGUCUAGUAUAUAAGGUGAUGUUUUGGGGGUGGGGUCAGAGAAUCUGUUUAAUAUUUGGUAAACUGUGUUAAUAUCAGAACAUUUCAUAGUCUUUUCUCUUGAAAUGGUCGAGAGCAGGUUACCUCCACAGCCAGGCACCACCAAGUUGAAAAAGCAGCGAAUGUGUCCCUGGCCUCAUGCAAUUGAAUACUUGAACAAAUAAAACUUUGAAUCUGUUCAAUAUUGGGUAAACUGUGUUAAUAACAGAACAUUUCAGUCAUUUCUCUUGGAAUGGUCGAGAGCAGGUUACCUCCACAGCCAGGCACCACCAAGUGAAAAAAGCAUUGUAUGUGUCCCUGGCCUUAUGCAAUUGAAUACUAGUACAAAUAAAACUUUGAAUCUGUUCAAUAUUGGGUAAACUGUGUUGAUAACAGAACAUUUCAGUCAUUUCUCUUGAAAUGGUCCAGAGAAGGUUACCUCCACAGCCAGGCACCACCAAGUUGAAAAAGCAGUGUAUGUGUCCCUGGCCUUAAACAAUUGAUUACUAGUACAAAUAAAGCUUUGAAUCUGUUUAAUGUUUGGUAAACUGUGUUAAUAUCAGAACAUUUCAUAGUCUUUUCUCUUGAAAUGGUCGAGAGCAGGUUACCUCCACAGCCAGGCACCACCAAGUUGAAAAAGCAGUGAAUGUGUCCCUGGCCUCAUGCAAUUGAAUACUUGAACAAAUAAAACUUUGAAUCUGUUCAAUAUUGGGUAAACUGUGUUAAUAACAGAACAUUUCAGUCAUUUCUCUUGGAAUGGUCGAGAGCAGGUUACCUCCACAGCCAGGCACCACCAAGUGAAAAAAGCAUUGUAUGCGUCCCUGGCCUUAUGCAAUUGAAUACUAGUACAAAUAAAACUUUGAAUCUGUUCAAUAUUGGGUAAACUGUGUUAAUAACAGAACAUUUCAGUCAUUUCUCUUGAAAUGGUCCAGAGAAGGUUACCUCCACAGCCAGGCACCACCAAGUUGAAAAAGCAGUGUAUGUGUCCCUGACCUUAAACAAUUGAUUACUUGAACAAAUAAAACUUUGAAUCUGUUUAAUAUUUGGUAAACUGUGUUAAUAUCAGAACAUUCCAAAGUCUUUUCUCUUGAAAUGGUCGAGAGCAGGUUACCUCCACAGCCAGGCACCACCAAGUUGAAAAAGCAGUGAAUGUGUCCCUGGCCUCAUGCAAUUGAAUACUUGAACAAAUAAAACUUUGAAUCUGUUCAAUAUUGGGUAAACUGUGUUAAUAACAGAACAUUUCAGUCAUUUCUCUUGGAAUGGUCGAGAGCAGGUUACCUCCACAGCCAGGCACCACCAAGUGAAAAAAGCAUUGUAUGUGUCCCUGGCCUUAUGCAAUUGAAUACUUGUACAAAUAAAACUUUGAAUCUGUUCAAUAUUGGGUAAACUGUGUUAAUAACAGAACAUUUCAUAAUCUUUUCUCUUGAAAUGGUCGAAAGCAGGUUACCUCCACAGCCAGGCACCACCAAGUGAAAAAAGCAUUGUAUGUGUCCCUGGCCUUAUGCAAUUGAAUACUUGUACAAAUAAAAUUUUGAAUCUGUUCAAUAUUUGGUAAACUGUGUUAAUAACAGAACAUUUCAUAGUCUUUUCUCUUGAAAUGGUCGAGAGCAGGUUACCUCCACAGCCAGGCACCACCAAGUGAAAAAAGCAGUGUAUGUGUCCCUGGCCUUAUACAUUUGAUUACUUGAACAAAUAAAACUUUGAGUCUGUUCAAUAUUGGGUAAACUGUGUUAAUAACAGAACAUUUCAUAGUUAUAAUUAGUUACUAUAUUUAUAAAAUGUAUUCAAUUGUAUAAGGCCAGGGACACAUAGACUGCUGUUUUCACUUGGUGGUGCCUGGCUGUGGAGGUAACCUGCUCUCGACCAUUUCAAGUGAAAUGACUAUGAAAUGUUCUGUAAUUAACACAGUUUGCCCAAUAUUGAACAGAUUGGGUUAUUGAUCAGUUUGGAAGGAACUUCUUUGAAAUAUUCAAUAUUGGGUGGAUUGUGGUAAUAACUUUAUAGUCAUUUUACUUAAAAAGUCAAGAGUGGUAUUCAUUGAUUGUAGUCACAGUGUAAAAUGUUCAAUUCUCAUCAGGAGGUUUUUAUUAAUAGAUAUGCGAAUGUGUCCACUGAACAAAAUUGUUGUAAUUCAAAUGAUGUCUAUUGAUUGAUUAAUAAAUACAUCUUUAAAACUAAA